rnacentral:tRNA from 1 species
UCGCGGCCCUUGCCAACAGCAAGGCCGAGCAUAGGAAGCUGGCCGGGCUUGGCGUCGGGAACGUGGUGACGAUCGACACGUCGGGCUGCGAG